rnacentral:tRNA from 1 species
UCCCUGGUGGUCCAAGUGGUUAGGAUUCUGCACUGCCAAUGCAGGUGGUACAGGUUCUAUCCAUGGUCAGGGAA